GUGUCAGCAGCCGCGGUAAUACGUAGGUGGCAAGCGUUAUCCGGAUUUACUGGGCGUAAAGAGUGCGUAGGCGGUUCUUCAAGUCGGAUGUGAAAUCUCCCGGCUUAACCGGGAGGGGUCAUUCGAAACUGUUGGACUAGAGGACAGCAGGGGGAGGUGGAAUUCCCGGUGUAGUGGUGAAAUGCGUAGAUGUCGGGAGGAACACCAGUGGCGAAGGCGGCCUCCUGGGCCGUUUCUGACGCUGAGGCUCGAAAGUGUGGGGAGCGAACAGGAUUAGAUACCCUGGUAGUCCACACUGUAAACAAUGGACACUAGGUAUGGGGAGUAUCGACCCUUUCUGUGCCGAAGCUAACGCUUUAAGUGUCCCGCCUGGGGACUACGGCCGCAAGGCUAAAACUCAAAUGAAUUGGCGGGG
rnacentral:rRNA from 1 species